rnacentral:rRNA from 1 species
AAGACCUUGCGCUUUUGGAGCGGCCGAUGCCUGAUUAGCUUGUUGGUAAGGUAAAAGCUUACCAAGGCUUCGAUCAGUAGCUGGUCUGAGAGGACGACCAGCCACACUGGGACUGAGACACGGCCCAGACUCCUACGGGAGGCAGCAGUGGGGAGUUUUGGACAAUGGGGGCAACCCUGAUCCAGCCAUGCCGCGUGAGUGAAGAAGGCCUUCGGGUUGUAAAGCUCUUUCAGCCGGAACGAAACGGUUACGGAUAACACCCGUGACUACUGACGGUACCGGAAGAAGAAGCACCGGCUAACUACGUGCCAGCAGCCGCGGUAAUACGUAGGGUGCGAGCGUUAAUCGGAAUUACUGGGCGUAAAGCGUGCGCAGGUGGUUUUGUAAGUCAGAUGUGAAAGCCCCGGGCUCAACCUGGGAACU